rnacentral:rRNA from 1 species
GUGGGGAAUCUUGCGCAAUGGGCGAAAGCCUGACGCAGCCAUGCCGCGUGGAUGAUGAAGGUCUUAGGAUUGCAAAAUCCUUUCACCGGUGAAGAUAAUGACUAUAGCCGGAGAAGAAGCCCCGGCUAACUUCGUGCCAGCAGCCGCGGUAAUACGAAGGGGGCUAGCGUUGGUCGGUCUUACUGGGGGGAAAGGGCGCGUAGGCGGACAUUUAAGUCAGGGGUGAAAUCCCGGGGCUCAACCGCGGAACUGCCUUUGAUACUGGGUGUCUUGAGUAUGAGAGAGGUGUGUGGAACUCCGAGUGUAGAGGUGAAAUUCGUAGAUAUUCGGAAGAACACCAGUGGCGAAGGCGACUCACUGGCCCAAUACUGACGCUGAGGCGCGAAAGCGUGGGGAGCAAACAGGAUUAGAUACCCGGGUAGUCC